UUGCAAUGCUCGUGCAUUCCCAAAUAGUGCAGUAUAAAUACACAUGUGAUUCAUAUGAGUACUGUGGCCAAAGUACAGAUGUAAAUAAGUUUAGCUUACUAUCUCACUGCAACUCGUAACGGAUCAUCGUGGACAGCUGAUAACAGUGCCGGAAAGAUAGGCCAGACUUUUCUACUUCCAGGAGCUACUGGAAUCUAUUGUAAAUAUAUCACAUCUAAAAUUAGAAGUCAAGUGUUUCAUAUUAUAAACAAUAAUAAUUAGAAAAAUUUGUUUUCGUUGUGUUAAUAUUUGGAGGACAAAUACUUCAAUGUAGCUCAUAUCAAGUUGGCUAAACACAAUAUUUAUACAGACAAGAACCUGGCGCUACUUUUUCAAUUUUUUCAUGUAUAUUUUUUAAUAAAAAAAUUUCAUUAACUAA
rnacentral:lncRNA from 1 species